rnacentral:rRNA from 1 species
UGCCAGCAGCCGCGGUAAUACGUAGGGUGCAAUCGUGAAUCGGAAUUACUGGGCGUAAAGCGUGUGUAGGCGGUUCGGAAAGAAAGAUGUGAACUCCCAGGGCUCAACCUUGGAACUGCAUUUUUAACUGCCGAGCUAGAGUAUGUCAGAGGGGGGUAGAAUUCCACGUGUAGCAGUGAAAUGCGUAGAUAUGUGGAGGAAUACCGAUGGCGAAGGCAGCCCCCUGGGAUAAUAAGGAAGCGCAGACAAGAACGCGUGGGGAGCAAACAGGAGUAGAUC